GACGAACGCUGGCGGCGUGCUUAACACAUGCAAGUCGAACGGAAAGGCCCUGCUUUUGUGGGGUGCUCGAGUGGCGAACGGGUGAGUAACACGUGAGUAACCUGCCCUUGACUUUGGGAUAACUUCAGGAAACUGGGGCUAAUACCGGAUAGGAGCUCCUGCUGCAUGGUGGGGGUUGGAAAGUUUCGGCGGUUGGGGAUGGACUCGCGGCUUAUCAGCUUGUUGGUGGGGUAGUGGCUUACCAAGGCUGGGACGGGUAGCCGGCCUGAGAGGGUGACCGGCCACAUUGGGACUGAGAUACGGCCCAGACUCCUACGGGAGGCAGCAGUGGGGAAUAUUGCACAAUGGGCGGAAGCCUGAUGCAGCAACGCCGCGUGCGGGAUGACGGCCUUCGGGUUGUAAACCGCUUUCGCCUGUGACGAAGCGUGAGUGACGGUAAUGGGUAAAGAAGCACCGGCUAACUACGUG
rnacentral:rRNA from 1 species